rnacentral:misc_RNA from 1 species
UGAAGAUGUAGCUCCCCCUUCCCCCGGAUACUCCCUUGAGUAACGUUGGAAAGAACGUUAACCACUAACAAUCUCCAAAAGGAGAGAACAUUGGUCAGUUGAUGCUUUUGUUGUAAUAUUGAAAUAACAUCUAUUCUUCUUGGGCUUUUGCUUUGUGAUUGGAUUAGAAAGUUAUAAGAGUUGGCAAUAAGGAUGUCUUGGCUAGUAGCGGGUUCAGUUGAGAUCAUCAGAUUGGGGGUGUCAAG